rnacentral:lncRNA from 1 species
ACCCUGAAACAGCAAACGGUAACUAGAUGGAAGGAUAAAAAUAAACAUGGCAAAGCAUCCACCCAUCUUUAAAACUUCUGCUCAGAGGUGGCAUCCAUCACUAUGCCUGACGUCAGUGGAACGGAAAAGUGGGACCCCCAUGUCUUGGAAAUGCAGCACUUAUUGAAAGUAGCAUCCAGCCAUGAGAAGAAGGUAGGAUGUGUUUAUAAAGAGACUACAAAACAAGAUCCUGAGUGUGACUCAAAGUUGUUACCCACUUGACAGAGAUAAUUUCAAGAAUUUUUUUUUAAUAAAUGACUGAGCACUUUAUAUCUAUCCAAGUCAAGGAGCAGAAAACGGUAAAUGCCACAGUGUAUGGUCAGAAAGAAGAAUCUUUCUCUGCGGUGAAAAAGUCAGUGAAUCUUACAUAACUUUUGUUUAUGCAAACUAAUCAUAUAUUACUGUGAUAUGCAAGGAACAUGGGAAGAACAUAUGGUUAUUUACCACAGGAAUACUUAAGCUACAUUUUCACAGCAAAAUAUCCUAUUUUUGUGAAGCUGUUCUUUGCCACCCUGCUGACAUCUUAGGGCCAUGGCAUUAGCCUCCUAUAUUUGGCAUAGGCAAGGCUCUUGAAAGCCAAGAGAAGGUUUGUUUUUCCUCCCAUCCUGGAGAACAUUUAACUUGGACUGUCCUUCACGGAAACAUACUGAGGACCCCCAGAGAAGAAGAAAUUGU